GCUCUGCUACGGAACGAGAGAUGGGCCAAAGUACCCUUCGUGUUUCUCGUACCGUGGCUCCCUCUGGUGCGUUACAGAAUUAGGAUUGUUUGUUGUUUUUUUCUUUUUUACAAAUCCUUUCGAUGUCUCAUCUUGUUAGCUUCCUGUUGACAACACUGCUGGAUUGGGCCGAGCGUCACCGGAGGACACAUUUUGUCCCGAUGUUUUAAGCCGUUCUGAGUGUGGGCUGUUUCGCAAAUGCCACAGUGCUUGCAAUGCAACGUGUGUUAAGAAGCCCUUCCAGCCCGGUCAGCUCCUGGUUCUGACUGCAGCCGCUUCUAAAGGAACCUUAGAUCUGGACCCUGGAUUCCUCCCCGAGUCGCAGCAUUUUGCAGAAACUGGGAUCCCUGAGCAAAAGCCUGAGACAACUCUCCCCGACGAAAUCGCCAAGCCCGUCAGAGCUUCCGAUGGCCAGUCCCGUGGAUACAGUGACCCUUGGCACGCUCAAGAAUGCUUAUGGAUUUCUUGAUAAAACUGCUUCUUAGCUUUUCUAAUAAACGUUUGUUUCACCCUUAAA